GACGAACGCUGGCGGCGUGCUUAACACAUGCAAGUCGAACGGAGUGGCGAACGGGUGAGUAACACGUGGGUGAUCUGCCCUGCACUUCGGGAUAAGCCUGGGAAACUGGGUCCAAUACCGGAUAGUGUGGGAUGGGCCCGCGGCCUCUCAGCUUGUGGGUGGGGUAAUGGCCUACCAAGGCGGCGACGGGUGGCCGGCCUGGGAGGGUGGACGGCCACAGUGGGACUGGGACGCGGGCCAGACUCCUUCGGGAGGCAGCGGUGGGGGUUAUUGCACGAUGGGCGGAAGCCGGAUGCAGGGACGCCGCGUGGGUGAUGACGGCCUUCGGGUUGGAAACUCCUUUCACCAUCGACGCGGUAGAUGGAGAAGAAGCACCGGCUAACUACGUGCCAGCAGCCGCGGUAAUUC
rnacentral:rRNA from 1 species